rnacentral:rRNA from 1 species
UACGUAGGGGGCAAGCGUUGUCCGGAAUCAUUGGGCGUAAAGAGCGUGUAGGCGGCUCGGUAAGUCCGUUCUGAAAGUCCAGGGCUCAACCCUGGGAUGCGGAUGGAUACUGCCGGGCUCGAGUCCGGAAGAGGCGAGUGGAAUUCCCGGUGUAGCGGUGAAAUGCGCAGAUAUCGGGAGGAACACCAAUGGCGAAGGCAGCUCGCUGGGACGUGACUGACGCUGAGACGCGAAAGCGUGGGGAGCAAACAGG